rnacentral:lncRNA from 1 species
CUUAACCCCAACUAUGCCGUGGACACCCUCCUGAUGGAGUGACUUUGACAUAAUCAAAGAUUAAGGACUUAACCACAAGACAACUAUGAUGCCUCAGGUCAAAGGACUACUUUGCAUUAUCCUAACCAUGAGUUCUCAUGUGACAUGAAUAUGAGAACUCUUCGUUGAUCGUGUUCAGUGAGCUCAUUCUCUAUUGAGCACCUACGUACUUGUCUUGAUGUCACACACACCAAUGACUCGAGACUAGUCACUCUCCCUGAGAGAAGACACAACACGUACUGAUCUUAACGGACUGUCAAUGCCCAAUUGGCAAUCCUAUGAUCAGGAACGUUUAGGAUGUGUUUACGAAAGAAUGGUCUCAUGAAUCUAACUUCUUUAGAUUGCAUUCUCCCAAUCACAUAUUCCUUGGACUUAUCGUUUAAGCAUAUAACAUUUAUAUGAGACGGCUCAAACAAUAAUCUUUGCCCUUUAUAUUUAAACUACAUUAGUUUAACUUUGUGAAAUGUCCGUAAAGUAUUAUCAUAUGAUUGGUUU